GUUAGAAUUUUGUGUCAGGCUGCUAGUAAAUCAGGCUCUACUCUGUCCAAUAGCAAGUUGGAUAGUACCUAUAGUUAAUUGCACGGACAUAUGGAUUUUGGUUCAUUUUGUGUGUAUGUUUGUUUGUUCAUGCUUACGACUUUGGCUAAAACAUGUUGGAUGCCCAAUUCCUAUGGUGAACCUUUUGGUUCAAGCAAGAAAACUCAUGUUCCCUUUCUAUGACUGAAGCCAAGCUGUACCUACUACUGGCAUAAUACGAUGGAUUCAUUCUUUGUUUGUGGUCAACUCUUGUCUGUCUACUAGCAUUCGUGCGAGAACCUGAAUGUUGUGUAGGCUGCUGUGUUGUACUACCAGUAAACUAGUUUAUACUCUCUCCAACUGCAAGUUGGAUAACCUUGCAAUUAAUUGUACAGACAUGCAUAUGAUUUUUUGGUUCAAUUUGUAUGUAUGUAUAUGCUUAAGACUUUGACUAAAACUAGUUGGAUGUUCAGUUCCCCAUGAAGGUGACCAAUCCCUAGCAGUGCCCAUUGGUCCUUCCUGUUAAUUUCACCUCCUGCGAUUUUAAUCUUUGUUUCUUGCUUUCCACAGCGACCACAUUCUCUUAACAGCGGGACAUCUGAGUUCGUCGUGGUGAUGGAAGCUGACACGGAGCCGCUCAAAAUCUCCUCGCCUCCCGUCAUGUUUCUUGCGGACAGCAAGAUGACCAAGCCCAAGGAGGAAGCAGUUGCUCAUCACUGAGGACAAGUAACUCCAGCAAGUUGACGCCGUAGAUUCAUAGUGUACCUUCUAUAUGCCCAUCCAGUUCUGUGAUUUGUGUCUUGAAACCCAAAAACCCCAUGCCCAUGUGGGAGCUGAACCAUAGUUUUUUUCUUGUGGAAAAUAAUAUCCUUGGCUGAAUCGACUUGAGGCGGUUUCUUCAAAAUUCUUGGAAA